AUGAACGCUGGCGGCGUGCCUAAUACAUGCAAGUCGAGCGAACGGACGAGAAGCUUGCUUCUCUGAUGUUAGCGGCGGACGGGUGAGUAACACGUGGAUAACCUACCUAUAAGACUGGGAUAACUUCGGUAAACCGGAGCUAAUACCGGAUGAUAUUUUGAACCGCAUGGUUCAAAAGUGAAAGACGGUCUUGCUGUCACUUAUAGAUGGAUCCGCGCUGCAUUAGCUAGUUGGUAAGGUAACGGCUUACCAAGGCAACGAUGCAUAGCCGACCUGAGAGGGUGAUCGGCCACACUGGAACUGAGACACGGUCCAGACUCCUACGGGAGGCAGCAGUAGGGAAUCUUCCGCAAUGGGCGAAAGCCUGACGGAGCAACGCCGCGUGAGUGAUGAAGGUCUUCGGAUCGUAAAACUCUGUUAUUAGGGAAGAACAUAUGUGUAAGUAACUGUGCACAUCUUGACGGUACCUAAUCAGAAAGCCACGGCUAACUACGUG
rnacentral:rRNA from 1 species